AUUAUUUUUAUGCCAGAACAGUGAUACUCAUCUCAAUCACAAGACUGCAGAGUCUGGGCUUUUGGGGGAAAGAUUCAAAACUUUCAUUCUGAUAAGACAAACCAAAUACACAGUUGAUAAUAAAGAACUGCAGACAAAUUUUGUGUCUACCAGCAACCAGUCUUAAAAUUAUUUUGACUUGAAACAUCUUCUCCCUUAAGGUGGAAAGGCAGAAGGUUAUAUUUUGGCAUCAGGAGCAAUAUUGGAUGACUUAGGACUCACACAUUUGGCACUCUGACUGACUUGCAUCUGAGACAGGCUGAUGAGGAUGCUGCUGUGGGCAAGCAGAGAUGAAGGGUUUACCCAGAUGGGUGAGGAAUUGUGGACCAGUCCUGCAAGGAAACUCCAGCAACCAGACUGAUUCAGCGGAGGUACAACCAGCAUUACCUUCAGGGUCAGUGACUUAUCACAGCCUUGGAGCCAGCUUAGCUCCAGAAAAGGCGCGAAUGGUCAGAGCACCACGGAGUCUGCUCCACGAAUGAUGUUGGAUGAACAAAGGUGUCGUCACACAAAGCAGACUGAGCAGGAGAAGGGCUUCGACCACGGCAGGGCCUCAGAAGCUGCAGCCUCCUCCCUCUGCAGGUGGGUUCGGUGUGGCCUGGCAGGCGCUCCCUGUUGGGCUGGGAGCCAUGAGACACUGCUGGUGCCCUGCAGGCCACGACACACUUCUGUGUGUUGGCUACAGUUCGUCCUGAAACCACGCUUGAAGGGUUUUCAUACAGUAUCAGAUUAUAGAAUUUGAGAAAAAUAAUAAUAAUAAUAAUAACCCCCCUCCAAAUCUCUUAGUAUAAUCUCAAUCUCCCCUGAUACCUUUCUGAAACUGCAGGAAGUAGCAUGUAAACCUCAGGAGGCACAUGUAUAUCCUGGAUGUUUAACUCCCCUGGUGUCUACCCUUUUCUCUUCUGUGUGUAUCUCCUUCUCUUCAGUUUGGGGAAAUCGUUUUAUCUUUGCCAACUCAUUUUCUCUGUUAUUCAUACCAUUCCUGACUCCAGUGCGGGCUGUCAGCACUGCACCAGAGCCACGCUGCCUGUGGAUUUCCUGUAUUCUUCAUCUGCUUUUGAAAGCCCGUCAAAAGCUACCAUAGGUAAAAGAACCGCAGGAAGCCACAAUUUGGGAAGUUUUCAGAGCCGCUUGCAGCUUUUUUUGCCCGCUGCCAUGCCUGACAACUUGAACUGGUGGAAUUAUUCAUUGGA